AGUGGCGGACGGGUGAGUAACGCGUGAAUGACCUGACCUAUACAGGGGGACAACACAUGGAAACGUGUGCUAAUACCGCAUAGGACCACGGAGCUACAUGGUUUUGAGGUGAAAGGAGCAAUCCGGUAUAGGAGGGGUUCGCGUCCCAUUAGCUAGUUGGUAGGGUAAAGGCCUACCAAGGCGACGAUGGGUAGCCGGACUGAGAGGUUGAACGGCCACACUGGAACUGAGAGACGGUCCAGACUCCUACGGGAGGCAGCAGUGGGGAAUAUUGGGCAAUGGGGGAAACCCUGACCCAGCAACGCCGCGUGAGGGAAGAAGGUUUUCGGAUUGUAAACCUCUGUCCUCAGGGACGAAGGAAGUGACGGUACCUGAGGAGGAAGCCCCGGCAAACUACGUGCCAGCAGCCGCGGUAAUACGUAGGGGGCGAGCGUUGUCCGGAAUUACUGGGCGUAAAGGGUGCGUAGGCGGUUAGAUAAGUCGGAUGUGGAAUACCCGGGCUUAACCCGGGGGUGUCAUACGAAACUGUGUAACUUGAGUGCAGAAGAGGAAAGCGGAAUUCCCAGUGUAGCGGUGAAUGCGUAGAUAUUGGGAGGAACACCAGUGGCGAAGG
rnacentral:rRNA from 1 species